rnacentral:lncRNA from 1 species
UUAAAGGGAUAUAACAAGACCUUUUUGCAAUGUUUUUAAAGAGAUAAAGACGAGUGUCAGUUGUCUUGUGUUCUACUCUAUUAAGCACAUCAAACAAACAUGCAUAGAGGGGUUUAACUUGGUAUGGUUCAUAACUUGUAUGGUUUUAAUCGAAAAAAUAAUGUUUGUAAAUUGGUUAAAAUUUUAGGGCUUUCCUUGUAAUUUUUCUAAAAAAUAAUGUGUAAAAUAGCUUAUUAAACGAACAUAGGUACAUAGAAAAAAUACAAAAAAAAUGCACAAAAAAUUUCAUCUAUGGCUUAAAUUCAUUCAAGGUGUGAUACCACAUAUAAAAUUUGAAUGUAAACCACACAUAAAAUUUUCUGUGCAUUUCUC